GUGGAGGAGGAGGAGGCAUUCCUUGGGGAAUAGGAGGAGGCGGAAUCAUAGACAUUCCGGGCUGGGACAUCGGGAGGGGAACAAAGGGGCGAGGUGCUCCCAAAGGUGUAAACUGUGAUCCAGGAGGUGGUGGAAUAGGAUGGCCAUGCGAAUUCAUGGCCAUUGAUGGAGGCAUUGGUGGACGAUUUACCAUGAGAUUUUGCUGACCUAGCAUCUGUGGCAUGGGAGGAGGUGGGGGCCGAACCUGAGGAAUCAUGUUAACCAUAGGAGGUCGAGGUGGAGGCGGAGCAGCAACCCCAGCACCGGUGGAGGUGGAAUACUGGACGGUAUUAGGAGGCCUAGGAAUAUUCAGCGCAAGCCCAGGAGGUGGAGGUAGUGGCCUAACAGAUGGAAAACCAGGUCUGGGAGGUGGAGGAGCCUGCGGACCAGGAAGGUUUCUUUCAUCAUUUGCAGCAUCAUUCUGAUCAUCUGCAUUAGUGUUGUGAGACAUUGCCUGGCUUGCAGUGCGACCAAUGCUACCUGUGUGACCAUCCCAUAUGACCUGCUUCGGCUCUUCCUUUUUUUUCUCAAUCUCAGCCUUGACCGCAUUUGAAACUUCUUCUUCCGUAGUACCAAAUAUAUCCGGACGGGUUCUUGCAAGCCCAACAAUGUUCCUAGAUAUCUCAUCAUCCUGCGCAAGAGUUGUCUCCUUAAUCUUCGCAAACAUCCUGUCUUUCUGUUCCUUGUACUUUGGAUCAAUGAGAGAGAUCCUCAUAUGUUCAGACAUUUCAUUAAUAGGUAUUAGCUCACCAGUUAUAGGAGAGACAACAUACUUAGUCGGGUCCCUUUCUGCGGGGAUCCUCUCUUCAGGCCUCUUCCAGUUCUUCACAAUCCGCAUAGGUGGGUCCUGUUCCUCUGCAAUUCCCAUGGUUUCAGCACUCUUGACAUCACCAUUCUCUUGAAGAGUCGCAGCUCUCAUACCUUCUUCGACUAGCUGCACCUCUUCUUCAUCCAUCUCCAUUUCCACCUCUUUUCCAGGCUCAACAUACUCUUCUUCCUCCAAUGUAGGCAUCUUGCUCCUCCUUAUAACCUCCUCAAGGGUCAUAGGUGGAGGUAAAUCCUGAUCCUCAUCAUCAGCAAAAUCUAUAGUCUCAACGACAACAAAAUCAUGCCAAUCAAUCAUAGCCAUCUGCAACCUCUCCUGUUCUAUCUCAUCUUCAGCUUUCUGCCUAGCCUGCUCCUGUGACUUUUCCCAC
rnacentral:lncRNA from 1 species